rnacentral:rRNA from 1 species
CAGUAGCCGCGGGAAUACAGAGGGUGCGAGCGUUAAUCGGAUUUACUGGGCGUAAAGCGUGCGUAGGCGGCUUCUUAAGUCGGAUGUGAAAUCCCUGAGCUUAACUUAGGAAUUGCAUUCGAUACUGGGAAGCUAGAGUAUGGGAGAGGAUGGUAGAAUUCCAGGUGUAGCUGUGAAAUGCGUAGAGAUCUGGAGGAAUACCGAUGGCGAAGGCAGCCAUCUGGCCUAAUACUGACGCUGAGGUACGAAAGCAUGGGGAGCAAACAGGAUUAGAUACCCCUGUAGUCCCUGUCUCUUAUAC